CAUGAAGGAGAGGGAGGGGUCGGGGGUCAUGAAGGAGAGGGAGGGUCGGGGGUCAUUAAGGAUAGGGAGGGGUCAGGGGUCAUGAAGGAGAGGGAGGGGUCGGGGGUCAUGAAGGAGAGGGAGGGGUCAGGGGGAGGGGUCGGGGGUCAUGAAGGAGAGGGAGGGGGCAGGCAGGGUUGACCCCUCACAGCUGACUGGUUCUGCUGCUGUGUAUUAUUGGAGAUACUAACUCCGUUGAGAGAUGCUGCCUUGUUACCAUGGAGAUACUAACUGGCAGCCCUGGAGAUACCAUCUGGUAUCUAUGGAGAUACUCACUGGUAAAAAUUGAGACAUAAAUUGGGAACUACGGAGAUAGUGGUAACCAUGGAUAUACUAACUGGUAACCAUGGAAUACGAACUCGUCCCAAUGGAUAUUAUCACUGGUAACCAUGGAAAUAGUGGUUACCAUGGAGCUACUAACUGGUGACUCUGGAGCGACUGAAUGGUAACCAUGGAGAUAUUAGCUGGUAAACAGAGAUCACAACGUAAUCAUUCAGAUAGAAGAAACUACAGGGAUGAUAACUGGUAACCAUGGCGACAGUGGUAACCAUGGAGACACUGGGUGGUAACC